AUAACCCUGCGGUGUUCGGGAGGGGUUUAUAUCUCUUGGGUCAACCCAUCAGAACGGGAUUCCAAAUCUCGGGGUUGAAUGCUCUCCGCCUUGAGCGGUUCGGCACAGGAUGCCCCGAUGCGGAAACCCACUUGAACAAUUGGAGUUCAAGAGAUUUCUCCCCAAGCGGCAUCGCGGGGAUUUU
rnacentral:other from 1 species